CUAAAGAUUGUUGUUGAAAAUGCUUGCAAAGUUAAUGAUGUCAAGUGUGAAGCACUUUAAAUGAACAAAAGUUAUUCAAGAUACAAGAUCUGACAUUGGAUGUCAAAACUUGUCUUUCAUAGUAAAUCUGAGUGGUUUGUAAAACCUUUGUAAUAUAAUUUUGAAAAAACUCAAACGAAUGGUACUGACUUAUUUUAGCUAUUUUUGUUCCACUCAACUUGUUUUUGCCCUUUAUAGUGGCAACACCAACAGCAGAAUUUUGCAUCCCAUGGCCGUAAUGUAAAGCAGUAUAAAUGUCCUCUGCACAAAUUAAAUUGUUACCAGCAUCAAAAAGCUACGAAUUAAUGACUUUGACUGCCAAUGACAGUGCUUCUCUGUCGCACUAAUCCUUGCCACGACAAGGUUUUUCGUGGCAAGGAUUAGUCAUUACCAUUGUCAAAAGGUUUUAUUAUUCUUGCAGUAUAAAUGAUAUACUUUAUUUUUAUUCAGUUUGAAAACAAAACUUUGUAAAAAUCAAAGUAAGAAAUAGUCUUAGCAGUUGUAAAAAAACUUUGCAUAAUAUUUAUUACAACAUAAGUUUUUUAGGUUUUAAAGAGACACCAUGAGACGGAAUGGACAGAAAAGUCACUUAUAGAAAACCAAGAGUGCAUGUCAAUUUCUGAUAACGACUAUAUAUGCCCUUACCAUAGAUUUAACUUUGGUAUUGGUUUGGCUCCUCCAAGAAGAUGCUGUCACCCAAAGCAUCAAUUAAGUGUUGGUAAAAAGUCAUCUGCUGAAAGAAGUAUUUCAAUAAAUAUGUCAACAAAUGUUUCAAAACAUUAAAACAAAAGUGUUCCAGUAGGUUCCGUACUUUGUCACGACCACCUAAUGUCAGAGUGCAUUCUAAAUCAAACUAAAACAAGUACUACCGCUAACGAAGAGCUAGCUGAAGACACAACUGAUUUUUAUUUUGAGCCUGAAGAAAUUUUACUUUAUGGAGAAAAAGUUAAAGGUGCUACAUUUACUGGUAACAAUCAAUCAGAAGCACUCUACAUCAGCCCUUUUCAGUUUAAGAUAAAGAACAAAAAGGUAUCUGAUCUCAGCAAAGGAACAAAAAAUAAUUUGCGAAGAAAAUUUGAAAGACUAGACCAGAAUUUGACUCAAAUGAUGUAUAUAAAGUAUCUCGUGCAGUUUUGACAGCUAAAAUGAGUCAUACAAUUGCAUUUUAUAAUGAAGUUUGCAGAAAUGAAAAUUACUCUCCUUUAUUGGAAAACAGUUUGUGGCGAAUACUUCAUGCUGUUAAAUUAUCUCAACAAAAAUAUUUAGCGGGACUGGAUGAUAUUAGGUAUGAAUUACAAGUAUAGAGAGCUGAGUAAUAUGUUUGAACGUAGCAAACGAUAUUAAAAACUAGUUUCCAGUUUAACUGCAGUGCGACAUACCCUAAUUCUAUUUCCCACUCCCCAAUAUUUGCUAGUGAUGUAACCGACAAAAGAUUGCAACAGAUUUCAAUAACACCCAAUGAUAAGAUUUUUUAUGAGUGUAAAAAUUUAAGCAAAUCCUUAGUUGAACUAAAAAGAUUAGCAUCAAAUAAUUCAGCCGACGAGUAUUUUAUUUAUGAUAUUGAAAUUGCUGAAAAAGAUAUCAUUGAUUAUAAAAAACAUUUUGGCUUUGGCUUUUUUUUGUUGACAAUCACAAUGCGUGAUUGUCAACAAAAAAAAGCCAAAGUUUUUGCUUUUGAAAGUCUUGAUGAGGAAUCUGGAUUUUGAUUGAAAGACUAUUGCCAAAAAGUUCUACCAUCCGAAUUCAGGGAAAGUCAAAAGGAAUAUUCUUGAAAAAAGGGGAUGUCACUGCACUUAGACAUUUUCUUUACUUAGAAAAACAACAUUUUAUAGAAAAAUAUGUAUUUUACAGCUCUUUAUAGGUGUGAGCAAAGUUUAUUGGAAGCGCUAUCAAUUGCCCAAUUAGAUCUUCCAAAGUUUAAGCAUGACCAUUAUAAUGUUAGUAAACUCUAUGCAAAAUCUGACAAUGUUUCAUCGUAUCAUGGAAACUUUAUAAUGGAAGCUCUUUUUAUGUUGUGCAAAAAUAACCAAAUACAGCUUAAGCGCUACGAUUAUAACAAACCUUGUCGUGGCAAGGAUUAGUGCGACAGAGAAGCACUGUCAUUGGAAGUCAAAGUCAUUGAUUAGUAGCUUUUUUGAUGCUGGUAACAAUUUAAGUUGUGCAGAGGACAUUUAUACUGCUUUACAUUACGGCCAUGGGAUGCAAAAUUCUGCUGUUGGUGUUGCCACUAUAAAGGGCAAAAGCAAGUUGAGUGGAACAAAAAUAGCUAAAAUAAGUCAGUACCAUUCGUUUGAGGUUUUUCAAAAUUAUAUUACAAUGUGGCGAUACUAUGCAGUUGGCGAUGGAGUUAUUCAAGAAUAUUCUAAUGUCAAUUUUGAUCUGCAAGUGUUUUUAACACAACCAUAUAGUGAUACUGACAAGAAAACACGAGUCUUUAAAGAUAAUAUGAAGGAAAAAUAUAAAAAAAAGAGAAAGCCGAUCAAGAUUAAGAAGAAUUAGCAAAUGAAGAAUUUGAAAAAGAAUUAAUAAGAAUUGCCAUUGAUUUAUCAUGUGUAUGGCAUGAAAACGAUUAGGUUGUUAUUAUUAUUAUGGCCAAAUGGUAUCCUGGUAUUAUAAAUGAAGUUCUCAGUGAUGGUUACAUGGUGAGCUGUAUAAAGUAUGCUUCUGCAGACAAGAACCUUCUUAAGUGGCCAGCUUUUCCUGAUGUUAAGAACAAUGACAGUGAAAUCAUUUGUGGAAUUCUACCACCAUUACCGUUAAAACAGCACGGAGACUUCAUCAAUAUGCUUAUAGCAUAUUGAUGAACAAUUUGAAAAAGCACUACAGGAAUUUCAAGCAACGAUGCAUUAAAAUCAAAGACAUAAGAAUAAAGAUAUGUAAAACUGAACGCAAACAAUGAUAUAACAAGAUAAAGACAAAAUAUAAUAUAUUUAUUAACU
rnacentral:lncRNA from 1 species